GGUUUUUGAAAAACGACUUUUUGCAAUCCUAGUCUACUUCUAAGUCUUCUAAACAUAUAAAUAAGCUAUGUGGGUCAUCUAAAAUUAAGGCUUUUGAAUAUUUUACCAAUUCUAAACCCUAGAAACUUAUUUCUCUCCGUUUCAAUGCUUAGAUUUACAUGAUGAGUUUCUAGCAAUCAACAUCGGCUUGAUUCUUCGUUGUUACUCAAUAAUUCUUACGAGAAUCAAGUAGAUGUUUGAUAAAAGGUGAACUCCCAUAGCUUAUGGUUUUCAAAAGUUAAAUCACCACAAAUCUUCGAUUCUACAUGCUCCGGAAGGAGGUUCGGCGCGUGGAUCUCGUGUGAAGCCGA
rnacentral:lncRNA from 1 species